rnacentral:rRNA from 1 species
AGCGAACGCUGGCGGCAGGCCUAACACAUGCAAGUCGAACGGAUCCUUCGGGAUUAGUGGCGGACGGGUGAGUAACACGUGGGAACGUGCCCUUUGGUUCGGAACAACUCAGGGAAACUUGAGCUAAUACCGGAUGUGCCCUUCGGGGGAAAGAUUUAUCGCCAUUGGAGCGGCCCGCGUCUGAUUAGCUAGUUGGUGAGGUAACGGCCCACCAAGGCGACGAUCAGUAGCUGGUCUGAGAGGAUGAUCAGCCACACUGGGACUGAGACACGGCCCAGACUCCUACGGGAAGCAGCAGUGGGGAAUCUUGCGCAAUGGGCGAAAGCCUGACGCAGCCAUGCCGCGUGAAUGAUGAAGGUCUUAGGAUUGUAAAAUUCUUUCAGCGGGGACGAUAAUGACGGUACCCGCAGAAGAAGCUCCGGCUGACUUCGUG